rnacentral:lncRNA from 1 species
UCUCACAAGGACACAUAACAUCAUCAAUAGUACACCUUUGGAGUCUGACUCUGUCCGGGAGAACCCACAGCAUGGAGGAGGGGACUUAACAUUUACAGAGCACUCCCAACGUCAGAUCAUUUUGGCAUGAACUAUGUCUGGCCUGCAGUGGACACUUCAUAAACUUGGGUUCAUUGGAACUUGGAAGCUUCAAAGAUAGACCACAGGGCAGGGCAAGGCAGACUACCCCCCCCCCAUGUGGGGUCACCUUCUCACCAAAACCAGGUCUUCUGAACUCAGGUGGGAAACUGGGGCCCCCGGGGAGACCAGAGGAUUUCUCAACAUCCCCUCUCCUGGGGCAAACACACAGCCCACCCCACAGCCCACCACUAACACCAGGGCACCUGCUCAGGGAACCUAGCACAGAGUCACAGCACCAUCUCCUGGCAAGAGGAGACACUGUCUCUCAAGAGAAAAUAAAGUAAGGUCGUCUCCAUGGUAAAGAAACCCAGAUUAAUAAUCAGAACCAGGAAGACCACCAACCUGUUCAGUUAACAACAAAAAUUUAGAAGGUGUAAGCUCAAAGCUGGGAGAGGUGUGGAGAAACCUUCACGUAUCGCUGGCAGGGCUAUCAAGUUGACCGUGUGUUCCAGAAGGCAUGACACCAACUGAUCAUAUAUACCUUGUGUGAUUUCACUUUGGAGUGAUACCCAGUGUAAGUUAUUUAAGAGAAAGAAAAAAAAAAAAGACUAUGCACGCUAAUGUAACUACGUUUUCUGUAUUAGUGGAGAGCUCAAAGCUUACGCAAUGCCUAGCUAGCAG